UUGACGUCACAGUUCCAUGGUCGGCAAACGAAAGCUGCCUGAGGGAGAGUGUUCAAUCAAAAGUGACCCACCUGUAAACCAUAGGGGUUAAAAAAAAGAAAGAAAAGUAGGGAGAGGCCUUGACGACGCUGACAGUGAGAGACUACAAUGAAUGGUAUUGAUAAAGAAUAGUGUAGAUGUGGAGUAGAUCUGCAUCGCGGCGCAGGAACGACCGAACGAGUGGCUCCCGUGCAUCCUGCUCCCAGCCAAACGCCCAAACCCAUCCGUCUUCGGGACUAGGGUCCCGGCAUCCAUCAGUGCAAGGGCAAGGCAGUUGGCCGCCGCGCCCCCGCCCCGCGGGUCUCCCCUCCUGCUCCGGUCCAGGGCGCCCCGGCCCCCCCUCGUCCGAAUCCCGUCGGUGGUGAGCCGCCGCCGGGUGUGGCCCGCGAGCUGCGACGCGCCGACGAUGCUGCCAAACGGAGAAGCUCCCUCCGGAUCCAUGCCGCCGGUGCCUGCCGCCGACGCGAACACCUCUAAUUCAGAUGACACUAGAUUUGAUGCGUCACAGUAUGCCUUUUUUGGCAACAAUGUGCUGGAGGAGAUUGAACUAGGCGGAUUCGAAGAUGAUAACAGCAGUAAUGCUGCUUUCGCUGGACUCGAUGAUUUAGAGCGCCCACUUUCUUCUCAGGGGAUUGCACUAGAGGCUGAAGAUAGUUCAUUUUCAGAUCUUGAUGAUCUUGCAAAUACAUUCUCAAAGCUAAGAAGAGAUGUUAACCUACCAAAGCAUAUUGGGGUAAAUAACCUUGGGACUUCUUUUUCAAGAGAAAGUUCUGCUGCUGCUGACUGGGCGCCGGAAUUUGAAUCCCCACUCUGGUCCGAUCAGCAUGUGCUAGUUGCUAACCAAGGACCGAAUGGCAAUGGCUGGUGGUCUCCACAGCAUCAUUCUUCUCUCCUUGCUGAUUCCAGAUUGCACAGAACAUCCUCAUCCCCUCAGCAACAGGAACAACACAAUCAUGAUGCACCUAUUCUUGGACCAAGGCCAUCUCCUUUGCACCGGACAUCUUCAUACCCGCAAAAGGAGCCUCAGUACAACCCAGCUGAAGUCAUUCCAAAUGCACCAUACAUGUCAAACUAUCUACCUGGUGGGCCACCCAAUUCAGUGCCUCGACAACCACAUCAGAUGAACAUGCCAUCUUUCAAUGAAUUUCAGAUGCAUAUGUCUGCGCAAAGUGAGACCCCAUUCUCCCAGUUUCCUCGUGGAGGGACACCUCCAGAGCCAUUAUUUGGUGGAAACCGGGGUCAUAUGAUUUCAACAGGCUUCUCAACUAACAGCAGUGGACAACGAGACCAUCUGCUGAAUAAUGGGCAGUUUCAUGGGGAAACUGCCAGCAUCAUGCCAAAUUUGCUGCCAAACCAUCUACAACGUCCGAAUACAUUCAUGCCCCCUCAAUUGUUGACAGUACGCCAACAGCAUGGCAUGCUCCCAAUUCAGCAAUCUUCAAAGCAGUCAUCAAGAACACAGACACACAUGUUUGGCCCCCAGCAUCCACCACAAAUGAUGAAUAGGUUUGAUAAUUUUGGGAUGCCUGAGUUCAGUGAUCCAAGAGCAAGAUCAUCAAUGCACCAUGGCAGGCAAGGUCAACAUUUUCCUCUCCAUGGCUCUGAGUUUGGUAUUAUGAAGAUGGGUAAUGGGAGGUCAAGGUUUAGAUCCAAGUAUAUGUCCACUGAAGAACUUGAAAACAUUUUAAGAAUACAGCAUGCCGCCACUCAUAUAAAUGAUCCAUACAUCGAUGAUUAUUACCAUCAAGCUUGUCUGGCCAGCAGAUAUGUGGAUGCAAGGUCGAAGCACCGCUUCUGCCCAACCUUGAUUCGUGAUCCAUCAUCCUGUACACGGAGUAAGGAUGAGCCACAUGCAUACCUUAAGGUUGAUGCCCUUGGGAGACUGCCAUUUUCUUCUGUACGGAGACCGCGUCCACUCCUUGACGUUGAGCCAGCUUCUGCAACUGAUGAUGACACCGUUAUUUCAAAGCCUCUUGAUCAGGAACCUCUGCUAGCUGCUAGGAUCACGAUUGAGGAUGGACUCUCCCUAUUACUUGACAUAGACGAUAUUGACCGCUUGCUUCAGUUUAGCCAGCAGCAAGAUGGUGGUUUCGAACUUAAAAAUAGAAGGCAAUCUCUACUUGGUCAGCUGGCAGAAUCGCUGCAGUUGGUUGAUCCACUAGGUGCAAAUAAAAACACACAUCUGUCCGCAAAUGAUGAUUUGGUAUUUCUUCGCAUUGUUUCUCUACCCAAGGGCCGGAAACUACUUUCACGCUAUAUCAACCUCAUGGUACCUGGUAGCGAUCUUGCAAGGAUAGUUUGCAUGGCAGUAUUCAGGCACCUGAGGUUUGUGUUUGGAAAUCUGCCCUCUGAUGACGGCGCAGCUGAGACAGUAACUAAACUGGCUAGCGCUGUAGCAUCAUGCAUUCGCGGGAUGGACUUAAGUGGCCUCAGUGCUUGUCUCGCAGCAAUUGUGUGCUCGUCUGAGCACCCACCCCUUCGGCCCCUUGGCCAUGCUGCUGGCGAUGGUGCCACUGUCGUCAUAAAGGCUGUCCUGGAUAGAGCAACAGAGCUCCUCACCGAGCAGCCUGCCGCGCCAGACUAUGGCGCUCCAAACCGAGCCUUGUGGCAAGCGUCGUUCAAUGCCUUCUUUGGGCUGCUCACUAAGUACUGCAUGAGUAAGUUUGAUAGCAUGGUUCACACGAUGCACAAGCUCGGUGCUGCUGCUGCAACAGCGAUACGCAAGGAACUUCCGGUUGAGCUUCUGCGCGCCAGCCUUCCUCACACGGAUGAGCAGCAGCGCAGACUACUGCUCGAGUUCGCCCAGCGGACCGUGCCCGUCUCUGGCCAUGGCUCCGACGGGUGACGGACGGGCGGGUGGCGGCUGGUGGAACCAUGGCAUCUGAAACAAUACCAGCUUAAGGUGGUCAGCGAAUAUUGGUGCGCUAGAUGCGGUAUUUUAUUCUAUCAUACGCAGACCUGCCCAAUGAAUCGAGCGUUCCUUGAGCUGCAGUUCAGAUGGGCAUGCCGGCGUUAAGUGGAUGUAUGUCCCAGGGCUGUGUUUCGUUGGCUCUGGGUGGGAACGGAACCCCCCUGCACGUUCCUUGAAGGCAAUUGCAAGAAAAUACUGCGAGCUGUUGGUGUUUCGGUUUGCAGUGUUUGUUUGUAGUGGCGUCAAGGCUUCCAAGGUUCUCAUCUCAUCACUCCGGACGGGUGCCAGGAAGAUGUGGUUUAACACAUGUAUAAACUAGCAAAUGCUUGGAAGGUUGAUAUUUGGUUCUGUAGCCAGCCAUUCGAAGAUUGUUGGGUGGGGGGUUUUGUUUCCUGUUAUAUUCGCAACUGAAUACAUUAUCUUGCGAAGCUGUUCAGUCUGUAACGAGUUCAUUGGGAAUUCCACUAUAUAUCCUUGUUAUGGAUGGUCAGGAGCUUUGUAUUUUUGUGAUUCUGGGUAUUACCCUUGUGUUCCAUAAAGGACGCUUUCUUCCUCGCUCC